AAUUGCAACGCCCAGAACAGAACAGGAAGUUAGGAACUUGUAACAGGAAGUUAAGAACUUCUAACAGGAACUGAGGAAAAUUUAAUUGCCUUUUAGCAACAUUGCAAAUUUCCUCAAGGGAUUUGCAAGGGAGUUUUUUAAAUUGCAAAAGUAAUGAGGAAAAUUGUAAUCAAUUUAGAAACUCAAAAGAGGAACGCUUCACGU